CGGCACCUGACUCCCCGUGCCCAACCCCUCUCCCCCCAAGCCAACGCUCGACAUCCCGCUUCUGCGCUUGAACCCCCUCCCCCCGCGCUGGAUUUUGCGUGUUCCAUGGAGGCCCGAGCUCGUAUUCUGUCGGCUGUUUUCCAUCUUUCCAUCCCUAUCUCGCCUGGGUUUGGAGACAGAUUUGCGGCGUUGAAGAUUGGCGGCGCCAAAUUGUUCUUACGCGACUGCAGGUUUCUAUCUUUUUCCUUCGCCGUGGAUUUGACUGGAUAAAUGAGACGUGAAGCCCUCCUGCGCAAGGAUGAAUUCUCGAAGAAGAUUAGUGCACAUGAUUCAUAUCAAUACGAGGAGGGUGGUCUUUGAGAGCUCCCACGAGGUGUUUGUGGUUCCCCUCCAUGAUCAGGGAGGGCUGGUUGCAGGGAUGUCAAAGUCAGAAGAAUGGUGGAAAAUGUUGUACUAGACUUAGUAUUAGGUGCAACCCUGGAGAUGUGGUAUUGAGAAUUCAAUUGCUCAAUCCUGAUCAGUAUGUGGCCAUCGAGGCUCUCGGUUUUGGUCACCGGGAUGGAAGGAGUUAAGUUUAGGAAUCAGCUGAUUCAGGACCUGCAGGAGGAGAUCCUGAAGGGACAGCCGGACAACCUUAGCUGCAUCCUUCUUCAUGAUUCUUUUCAACUGGUUUUUGUUCCCCACAAGUAGCUAUAACAUUGAUUUGAGCCAAAUCAAAAGGGCAAUGCAUCCUGAAACCUUCUGCGCCCAAGCUGUAUUCCAUGAAUAGUUUGUAGUUCGUAGAUGGCAAAGAAUUGUCCCAAAUAAUUUAUGGCUGCACUUGUCUCCUGAUCAUAAGUUUUCUUCGGACCGAAUUAGGUGCAGGGAUAGAACCGAUACGUACAGCUUCCUACCAUUUAAGAGCUGGGCAAGAACUUGUUACGUUGCAGCUGACAGUGCACCGGAUGAAUUUUGCAAAUGGACAUGAAGUGCAUCGGAGAAGGUAAGGUACAUUCCACCAGUUGCAAGUGCCUGCAUUAUCUUACUAUGUUCAUUAAUAUUUGAUAUAUUCUGUAUGGUUACAAAAUCCCCGUCUAUGCCAUAUCCACGAGCUCCCUAACUAAUUGACUGUAAAUAAGCUAGUAUAGUAUAGAUAAAAAGAUCAUGUUGUCUCUGUUAUUUCAGCUGGCCAGUUAUUAUUGAUUAGUUCAGAUAAAGUCCCUCGCUGGUGAUGGCAUCCUGAUAAAUUUUCUUUUCCUCGCACAAUUGACACAAAGGUUAGUGCAUAUUGACUUGCUGACUGCAGUAGUCUUAAUUGAACCUGUCCACCUGGAUUAUCGAUAAUCAGUUCAUCCUGAGUCUGAGAUUCAGAUAGACUUCUCUGCAAUUCUGUAGUUCAUUGAUGAGGUGUCCUGUGGUUCUGAGCUUAGACACGAGCCAGAUGCCAUGUAUAGCAGAUUAUAAAGUUUUGAUUGGGUGUACAGCACCAUAGGGUGUCCUGGUGCUGAUUCUUGGGGCGACGAGCUGCCAUAUAUACUUUUAGCACGGCUUUGCUACUGACCAAUUGAUGUUUCACUUGAUACUGAAUUUUUCUUUAGGGAAACUGUUCAACUGAAACUGAUUAGGAUUUACCAAUUUUGGUAUAUUAUCCCAUCAUGUGUAGACUAAUGUUAGAUCAUAGAUUUACCCAUUGUCAACAGCAUCUGCUUGUGAAACUGUAUCCGAACAAACCAUGCCAUGAGACGAGGCUGUGAGCAUACUAACUAUAGCAGAUUGUAGAAAUAGGGUCAAUGAAAAAUGAACUUGUGCUCUGUGUUUAUGAAUGCAAUCAUUUACAAAUGUUCUGAAGCUGGACUUGAAAACAGUGUGGUUCGUGAUACUACUUUUUGCCUAGCUAUAUAUAUUCUUUUGGUCGAUUUCUUUACAAAGACCUGUUUGUUCUUUUGCUGAUUGAUAUUGGAUAUCUUGCAUGUGACAAUCUAGUGGUGAAGGCUUGCUCAAGAAAUGGGCACAACCAAUAGCAUCUCAAACUCUGGCUAACAUAGGCAAAGAGCUAGUCUUUCACUUUGGUUGAUAAGAAUUCCGAUGGCUGAGUUCUGGGAAAUUGAUUUGCGAAGUCUAGUCAAGAGCAUCUAGGCGGGGAUGUAAAGUAUAUGGGCCUGGUACCCAUAUCCUGCUAGUAGCAUAGUGCACAUUUUUCCUUGUGACGAAUCCAGUAUUUGGUGCAACAGAUAUUCGCUGUCUGAUCAUAUUUGCCAACUUUUCCUGCAGCAUUUAUUUCA